rnacentral:rRNA from 1 species
UACGGAGGAUCCGAGCGUUAUCCGGAUUUAUUGGGUUUAAAGGGUGCGUAGGCGGCUUUUUUAAGUCAGCGGUGAAAUUUUGCAGCUUAACUGUAACAGUGCCGUUGAUACUGGGGAGCUAGGAUUUGGUUGCUGUGGGUGGAAUGUGUGGUGUAGCGGUGAAAUGCUUAGAGAUCACACAGAAUAUCGAUUGCGAAGGCAGCUCACAAAGCCAAGAUUGACGCUGAGGCACGAAAGUGUGGGGGAUCAAACAGGAUUAGAUA